GUGCCAGCAGCCGCGGUAAUACAGAGGGUGCGAGCGUUAAUCGGAAUUACUGGGCGUAAAGCGAGUGUAGGUGGCUCAUUAAGUCACAUGUGAAAUCCCCGGGCUUAACCUGGGAACUGCAUGUGAUACUGGUGGUGCUAGAAUAUGUGAGAGGGAAGUAGAAUUCCAGGUGUAGCGGUGAAAUGCGUAGAGAUCUGGAGGAAUACCGAUGGCGAAGGCAGCUUCCUGGCAUAAUAUUGACACUGAGAUUCGAAAGCGUGGGUAGCAAACAGGAUUAGAUACCCUGGUAGUCCACGCCGUAAACGAUGUCUACUAGCCGUUGGGGUCCUUGAGACUUUAGUGGCGCAGUUAACGCGAUAAGUAGACCGCCUGGGGAGUACGGCCGCAAGGUUAAAACUCAAAUAAAUUGGCGG
rnacentral:rRNA from 1 species